GUUCAGUUCGGUAGAGCGUGGAUCUCCAAAACCUAUUUUUGUAGGUUCAAAUCCUGC
rnacentral:tRNA from 1 species